AGAGUAAUAGGCGAUGGAGUUCGCUAAACUAUCGUUCGGGCUGAUGACUCCUACCAGUAA
rnacentral:ncRNA from 18 species